AUAUAUAUAUAUAUAUAUAAAACACUGACACUUCUGAAUAAAUACGUGUCUGAUAUAUUCUAUAUCUAUCUUCUAUACUGAAUCGGAAUAAUAUCAGCUCUUGUUUUGACAAUUUCAUAAAUCUUAUACAUUACUUAUAUAAACAAAAAUAUAAAAAUUCAAGAGAAUUAUAGAAUCUUAAAACAUAUUUAACUUGCAAUUUCUUUCUAAGAUUUUUUCACAAAAAUACUCUUUAAGCUCUAAGAAACUAUCAAAGACAAAGUUCUGAAAAACCAAAUAAAUAAAAACGUUAUCAUCAUAUUCAUAUACAUCAUAUUCAUAAAUAAUCAAUUUUAUAUAUCCUUUUGGUGCAAAAGCAUUAGAAAUGCUGAUAUAAAUAUGCAUAUAGAAAGAGAAUUAAAAAUUUCUUAGAAUGAGGUUAUUAUGUGGCAGAACCAUAUCUGCAGCUUUAGAUCUGUCAACCCCAUAGGAAGCGACGUCGUGUGUGCCGCAUAUCAUUGCUUGAUUCAAGUUUGAUUUCGAUUAAAAAAAUAGAGGAACAAGGAAGAAAAUGAAAAGAAAGAAGAAAGAAGGAAGAGAAAGAGAGAAAAGGACAAAUUUGUGUUUAGUAGAAUCAAAAAACAAAUAGGGGAAUUGGACUGAUGGAAGAAGGAGACGUGGAGACUUGAGGAAGCAGAGGGGUAGCACGUUGUUUUUCAGACCAUAAAAUAUUCUCAUUGCUCUCCCACAAUGGAAUAUUCUUUGCACAAUUAUCCCAUAAACUUAUUUAAUGGUCAUUGAUGUGAAACUUACUUUAAAUGUGUUUUUCUCAACAACAUCAUAAAAAGAUUAAAUAUUAUGAAGAGAUAAAAUUAUGAAGAUAAUAAAUUUUACCUUCAAGAUCUAAAACCAUAGCUUUUAGCAAAUAUGAAACGACAUCUUAUAAGGUUUCGUUACAGAUAUCGCAGUUUUUCGUUUGUUUGUAUUUGACUCAGAAAAACAAUAACAAUAACAAAACCAGUCAAAACCAUAACAAUUAAGUUAACUGAACAACUUAUCAACUGUGGCAGAACCAAAUUUGCAGCUUCAGAUCUGUCAACCCCAUACGAAGUGGCAUCGUGUUUGUCGCAUAUCAUCACUUGCUUCAAGUUUGAUUUUGAUUAGAAAAUAUAGAGGAAGAAUGAAGAAAAAGAAAAGGAAGAGAGAGAGAGAGAAUUUAUGUUUAGUUUAAUCAGAAAAUAAAUCGGUGUAUUGAGCUAAGGGAAGAAGGAGACGUGGAGACUUGAGGAAGCAGGGGUAACAUGAUAUUUUUUAGAACAUAAUUUAUUCUUAUUUCCUACAAUGAAAUAUUAUUUGCAUAAUUAUCAACUAAACUUAUUUAACGACCAUUGAUCAGAUUUUAUAUAUAUAUAUAUAUAUAUAUAUA
rnacentral:lncRNA from 1 species